AUGGGAGUGUUACCUUCACUUCUGAUCGUGUACUCCGGCGUGCUAGAUGGGGUCGAGGCACCGUGUGCUUCCAGUACGGUGCUCAUUGAUUUCGAUGAGGUCGCCAUCUACAGCACCAUCACCAAAGCUCUCCUCCGAGCCUUUAUUUGCUCCUUUUUCUCGUCAAGGUCCAUCGAGGAUGGUUGGCACACAUUAGUGAUAUCACCGAGAGGUCCAUAUAAUUAUGAUGUCUUGGAGGGUAUGACGUUCGGCAAUAUUUCUGAAUCCUUCAAUGCUGACUUUGAGGAUGGUACAAUCGGGGAGGUAUGGAUCUUUGAGAGUAUCCUUCUGGGUGAAUAUGGAGAAGUAAUGAAUAUCCAAGUACUUGNNNNNNNNNNNNNNAGUCGCCCACGGGAACUCCUAUGUCGCUGUCGUGGUUUCGCGGCCGCGGCGUUGUCCAGUGGUUCCGUGGCGGCGGUGCUGUCGAGUGGUUCCGCGACGGCGGCGCUGUGGACUGUGCAGAUCCAGAUGGAGUCGGGCGGCGAGAUCCAGAUGGACUUAGGCGGAGAUCCAGAUGGACUCAGGCGGCGAGAUCUGGUGCGGGGUAUGAGGUUCUACGGCAGGCCGAUCCUGUGUGGGCGGGGUUCUCGGUGGGUUGGUGUGGGGGUGAUGGGACGGAAAAAACCGGUUGAAAAAAAACCAGAAGAAAGUGGGGGGACUAUUCAACCAACUCGUUCAUUAAGAGUAGAGAUAGUUAAAUAA
rnacentral:rRNA from 1 species